rnacentral:rRNA from 1 species
AAUGUAGGAAUGAGUAACGAUAAACAAGGUGAAAAACCUUGUCGCCGAAAGACUAAGGGUUCCUGAUCAACGUUAAUCGGAUCAGGGUUAGUCGGGACCUUAGGCGUACCCGAAAGGGGAAGUCGAUGGAGAAUGGGUUAAUAUUCCCAUACCUGUAUAAUAUUCGAUGGAGUAACGCAGAAGUGACAAGUCCGCGAACUGACGGAAUAGUUCGUUAAAGGGCGUAGGUAUACGACUGGUAGGCAAAUCCGCCGGUUGUGCUGAAACCUGAUAGUACUGCAAAGCUUCGGUGGCGCAGAUAGUGACUGUAAUCAGACUGCCGAGAAAAACUUCUAAGGUUCGUAUUAUACAGCUCGUACCGUAAACCGACGCAGGUAGUCGAGAUGAGUAUUCUAAGGCGCUCGGGUGAGCCGUGGAGAAGGAACUAGGCAAAUUAUGGCUGUAACUUCGGAAUAAAGCCAGCCGCAGUAAUGCGGCCUCAGUAAAUUGGUGCAACCAACUGUUUAGCAAAAACACAGGGCCCUGCGAAAUGGAAAGAUGAAGUAUAGAGCCUGAUACCUGCCCGGUGCUGGAAGGUUAAGGAAGUUUGUCAGCCGCAAGGUGAAGCUUACGACUGAAGCCCCAGUAAACGGCGGCCGUAACUAUAACGGUCCUAAGGUAGCGAAAUUCCUUGUCGGGUAAGUUCCGACCUGCACGAAUGGUCUAAUGAGUUGCACACUGUCUCCUCCACGAGCCCGGUGAAAUUGUAGUAUCGGUGAAGAUGCCGGUUACCCGCCACGGGACGAAAAGACCCCGUGAACCUUCACUACAACUUUGCAUUGAUUUUGAGUAACAGAUGUGUAGCAUAGUUGGGAGACUAUGAAGCAUGCACGCCAGUGUGUGUGGAGUCACCGUUGAAAUACCAACCUUCUGUUACUUAGAGUCUAAUCCCUGCGAAACAGGGAAACAUUGCAUGGUGGGUAGUUUGACUGGGGUGGUCGCCUCCCAAAGCGUAACGGAGGCUCGCAAAGGUUCCCUCAGCACGGUUGGUAAUCGUGCGUAGAGCGUAUUGGUAUAAGGGAGCUUGACUGCGAGACUGACUAGUCGAGCAGGUGCGAAAGCAGGCUAAAGUGAUCCGGCGAUUCUGUAUGGAAGGGUCGUCGCUCAAAGGAUAAAAGGUACUCCGGGAUAACAGGCUGAUCUCCCCCAAGAGCUCAUAUCGACGGGGAGGUUUGGCACCUCGAUGUCGGUUCGUCACAUCCUGGGGCUGGAGAAGGUCCCAAGGGUUGGGCUGUUCGCCCAUUAAAGUGGCACGUGAACUGGGUUCAGAACGUCGCAAGACAGUUUGGUCUCUAUCUGUGGUGGGCGUUAGUAAAUUGCGAGGACAUGACCUUAGUACGAGAGGACCGGGUUGUAUGUACCGCUGGUGUAUCUGUUGUGCCGCCAGGUGCAGUGCAGAGUAGCUAUGUACAGAAAGGAUAAGCGCUGAAAGCAUCUAAGCGCGAAACCUUCCUUAAGAUGAGUUUACUUUUAAGUGCCGUCGAAGACUACGACGUUGAUAGGUCAUAGGUGUAAAGGUGGUAACAUCAUAGCCGAGUGAUACUAAUUGCACGUACGCUUUAAC